AUGUGUUGGGCUACACACGUGUUACAAUGGUAGAGACAGAAGUAACUACAGCUAGUGCUUAAGUGAAUCUUUAAAAUCUACCUCAGUUCGGAUUGUUCCUUGAAAUUCAGGAGCAUGAAGCUGGAAUCGUUAGUAAUCGUAAAUAAGAACGUUACGGUGAAUGUUCUAUCAAAUUUUGCACACACCGCCCAUCACGCCCGGAGAGGCGAGUAGGCCGGGAGACAACUUUUAAAGAAAGGUCGGUAACUGUAAUUUUAGGUAAAACUAAACUCGGUUGCUGCUGUCCGCCCACUGGCAAUGAAUUUCUCAUAUGUUUGAGAAGUCGGCUUGUAUCUGAGCACCGUUUUUUAUUUUACUUUUUGGUGCCACUAGCUAAAUAUGUUUGAGCAGGUAUACGGGCCCGACCAACGGGGU
rnacentral:rRNA from 1 species